GACGAACGCUGGCGGCGUGCCUAAUACAUGCAAGUAGAACGCUGAAGAGAGGAGCUUGCUCUUCUUGGAUGAGUUGCGAACGGGUGAGUAACGCGUAGGUAACCUGCCUUGUAGCGGGGGAUAACUAUUGGAAACGAUAGCUAAUACCGCAUAACAAUGGAUGACCCAUGUCAUUUAUUUGAAAGGGGCAAAUGCUCCACUACAAGAUGGACCUGCGUUGUAUUAGCUAGUAGGUGAGGUAACGGCUCACCUAGGCGACGAUACAUAGCCGACCUGAGUGGGUGAUCGGCCACACUGGGACUGAGACACGGCCCAGACUCCUACGGGAGGCAGCAGUAGGGAAUCUUCGGCAAUGGGGGCAACCCUGACCGAGCAACGCCGCGUGAGUGAAGAAGGUUUUCGGAUCGUAAAGCUCUGUUGUAAGUCAAGAACGAGUGUGAGAGUGGAAAGUUCACACUGUGACGGUAGCUUACCAGAAAGGGACGGCUAACUACGUG
rnacentral:rRNA from 1 species